rnacentral:misc_RNA from 1 species
AGUUAAAUAGUACGUGAAAUUGUUGAAAGGGAAACGAUUGAAGUCAGUCAUGCUAGUGAAAAUUCAGUUUGACGGGUUUUGGGUUUAGGAGUAAGAGGUAGGGUUAAACCGUCUCUCUUUUAAACUUGGGAUUUGUCGGAUGCACUUUUUCUUUGGCAGGUCAGCGUCGAUUUCGGGGGUUGUAAAAUACUUGGGGGAAAGUAGCUCUGCUUCGGGAGAGUGUUAUAGACCUUGGGAGAUGCAGCCCGUGGGAUCGAGGAUUGCAGCAAAUGCCUUUGGCUUGUCUUCUGAUCUUUGGUUGUUACCUCGUUUAUGACAACAUUCUUGUCAUCGAUGAGUUCUAAUGGUUAUGGGUUAGAAUGAUCAAAAAUUUGCUAAGGAUGCUGACGUAAUGGCUUUAAA